rnacentral:lncRNA from 1 species
AUGUCAGGGCAAAGUCUUCUAGAACCCAACCUGGUAACUGCACCUUUGGCCUGAUACCUCCCAAUUCUGAAAGAACAUAUCGAUGCUCAGCAGGGACAGAGGGAAGAAUCAACUCCCCAUCAUGGAAAAUAAAAUGUUCAGCUGGGCAAUAAUGAAGCAAAUGAGUAAUGCCCAGAAGACACUACAGAGAAUGUCUACUGGGGACUACAAACAGCCAUCAGUAUGGUGGAUUUGCAGAAGAAACUGCCCUAAGCUGUGUGUUAAAGGUGGAUGGGAAACCGGAGGAGGGCAUGGAAGGACAGGCCAGCUUCAGAGGAAACCCUUGGAAAUGGAUCCGCCCUCUAGCGGUUAACAAGGGAGCUGAGGAAUAAUGGGAUUUGACAUCAUUGGAAAGCACAGCCACACCCAAAAACAGGUGUGUGCACAAGAAUUUCUGAACACAGAUUUUACCAGCUACACCCACACCCUCAAUUCUACUUGAAAUUAAUCUUAAAGAAAUUUUGAAUUUGCUGAUAAUUUGAGAUCAGUAAAGAUUUUCCCUG